CUGCAAAGGUCACGGAAAAUAUUCGGAGGCUAUUGCUACAGAUGUUACGGAAAUUACCCCCAAGAUGACAAAAGAACGAGCUGGGCUGCUGGAAUGAUGGAUCGGAUUGGAGCGCCGGAGCUUCUCCUGGUCAUUUGGAUAUUCAUACGGUUGGCUUCGGUCUGUGUCGCGUCAUGCAGUGGGAAGGUAGAGCUUCAUACAGAGAGAAGAGGUGUAAUCUACAGCCCCUCCUGGCCCCUCAACUACCCCCCCGGAAUGAACUGUUCCUGGAACAUAGAGGGGGACAGGGGAGAGGUUAUCACCAUCAGCUUCCCUAACUUUGACCUGGAGGAGUCAGGUCAGUGUCAGGGGGACUGGCUGCUCCUAGGCCCCACCUGGAGAGAGGAGUACCGGUGUGUGGCUCCCUCCUCCCACCUCCCUUCAUCUCUUCCAGUGGAGGAGUCUGGCUCUACUUCCACUCACAGGCCAACAGCUCAGGACUGGC